CUGCAACUCGCCUGUAUGAAGUUGGAAUUGCUAGUAAUCGCGGAUCAGCAUGCCGCGGUGAAUACGUUCCCGGGCCUUGUACACACCGCCCGUCACACCAUGAGAGCCGGUAAUACCCGAAGUCAGUAUCCUAACCGCAAGGAGGGAGCUGCCGAAGGUAGGAUUGGCGAUUGGGGUGAAGUCGUAACAAGGUAUC
rnacentral:rRNA from 1 species